rnacentral:misc_RNA from 1 species
AAAAGUUCAAAGAUGAGGAACACAAGUGAGACAGAUUUGGAUGGUUCUACAGCUAAAAAGUUCCGGAGAGAUGAUGUACAUAAUGAUUACAAUCUUAUUGAGGCAAAACCGGGACAGAGCUCAAGCACUGGUUUAUCUGGAUCGGAGAAGAUUAGAGAUAAAUAUAAAUACAAGCAGCCAAAGGUUGAUUCACUGAAAAAUUUGGCUGUAGCAAAAAAUCCAGAAAGCCGUUCUUUGGAUGGUUCAAUCCAAAAAUGUGACAUUAAAGACUCCCUUAAGAGGAAACGGAGUGAUUGCCAGAAUCCCGAGACACAGCCUCCCCCAGAUAUUAUAGAAGAGACUUGUGAUAACGACCGUAAGAAAGAAAAGAAAGCAAAGGUCUCCAAGUCCGUGGGAAAAGACUCCAGCAGAAGCGGAGCUAGU